UGGGAACGUGCCUUUUGGUUCGGAACAACCCAGGGAAACUUGGGGCUAAUACCGGAUAAGCCCUUACGGGGAAAGAUUUAUCGCCAAAAGAUCGGCCCGCGUCUGAUUAGCUAGUUGGUGGGGUAAUGGCCCACCAAGGCUACGAUCAGUAGCUGGUCUGAGAGGAUGAUCAGCCACAUUGGGACUGAGACACGGUCCAGACUCCUACGGGAGCAG
rnacentral:rRNA from 1 species